UACGUAGGGGGCAAGCGUUGUCCGGAAUUAUUGGGCGUAAAGAGCGUGUAGGCGGCUAGAUAGGUCCGUUGUGAAAACUCGAGGCUCAACCUCGAGACGUCGAUGGAAACCAUCUGGCUAGAGUCCGGAAGAGGAGAGUGGAAUUCCCGGUGUAGAGGUGAAAUUCGUAGAUAUCGGGAGGAACACCAGUGGCGAAGGCGGCGAUCUGGGUCGAUACUGACGCUGAGGUGCGAAAGCGUGGGGAGCAAACAGG
rnacentral:rRNA from 1 species